CGACCUGAAGAAUAAGCACCGGCUAACUACGUGCCAGCAGCCGCGGUAAUACGUAUGGUGCGAGCGUUACUCGGAAUUACUGGGCGUCAAGCGUGCGCAGGCGGUUAUACAAGACAGGCGUGAAAUCCCCGGGCUUAACCUGUGAAUGGCGCCUGUGACUGUAUGGCUAGAGUGUGUCAGAGGGGGGUAGAAUUCCACGUGUAGCAGUGAAAUGCGUAGAUAUGUGGAGGAAUACCAAUGGCGAAUGCAGUCCCCUGGGAUAACACUGACGCUCAUGCACGAAAGCGUGGGGAGCAAACAGGAUUAGAUACCCUGGUAGUCCACGCCCUAAACGAUGCUGACUAGUUGUUCGGGAUUUACAUCCUGAGUAACGUAGCUAACGCGUGAAGUCAGCCGCCUGUGGAGUACGGUCGCAAGAUUAAAACUCACAGGAAUUGACGGUGACCCGCACAAGCGGUGGAUG
rnacentral:rRNA from 1 species